rnacentral:tRNA from 1 species
GCCGGGGUGGUGGAAUUGGUAGACGCGCCGGACUCAAAAUCCGGUGGAGCCUCGGCUCCGUGCGGGUUCGACUCCCGCCCCCGGCACCA